CUCUGUUUCGAUCAAUGAUUCAGGGCGGAAGGAG
ncrna:Bacillus timonensis L31-Firmicutes ribosomal protein leader